rnacentral:rRNA from 1 species
UACGUAGGGAGCAAGCGUUGUCCGGAAUCAUUGGGCGUAAAGCGCGCGUAGGCGGCCCGGUAAGUCCGUUGUGAAAGUCAAAGGCUCAACCUUUGAAUGCCGAUGGAUACUGCCGGGCUAGAGUCCGGAAGAGGCGAGUGGAAUUCCUGGUGUAGCGGUGGAAUGCGCAGAUAUCAGGAGGAACAUCGAUAGCGAAGGCAGCUCGCUGGACGGUACUGACGCUAAGGCGCGAAAGCGUGGGAGCGAACGAG